rnacentral:rRNA from 1 species
CCUACGGGCGGCAGCAGUGAGGAAUAUUGCACAAUGGACGAGACCCUGAUCCAGCCACGCCGCGUGAAGGAUGAAGUCUUUCUGUAUUUAAACCUCUUUCUGCAUGGGAGUAAAUCACGGUACCUGACUCAUCAUCCACGUCUCACUACGUUCCAGCAGCAGCGGUAAUACGCAGGAGGCCAGCGUUAUCCGGAUUUACUGGGUGUAAAGGGAGCGUAGUCGGGAUUGCAAGUCAGAAGUGAAAGGUCACGGCUCAACCAUGAAAUUGCAUUUGAAACUGUAAAUCUUGAGUGCAGUGGAGGUAGGUGGAAUUCGUGGUGUAGCGGUGAAAUGCGUAGAUAUCAGGAGGAACUCCAGUGGCGAAGGCGGCUUACUGAACUGCCAAUGACGUUGAGGCUCGAAAGCGUGGGGAGCAAACAGGAGUAGAUACCCUUGUAGUC